rnacentral:misc_RNA from 1 species
CCCAUAUUUAUUACCACACAACAAGCAUCUGAAAUAUACAGUUGAAUAAAAUCACUGUUGCAUUGCCUUGCACAUUAUCCACAUGACAGAGAAAAGGAACAUCGAAAUCCUUUCAAACAUUGUCCAAACUUACUUAUCAUAUUAGUAGUAACUGUAACAUUCAUUUCCUUAGAUUACUCAGAACUCUCUGUCCGGGAACAGAAUUGGAGCAACCUGAGACCAGAUGAACAAAGCUGCAGUUGCCCACCCAGUCACGAUCCUGACCCAGACAGAUGGCCACCCAACGUCCACUAAUUUUCCACUCUCCCCCACAGAGGUUGACCAACCCGUAAGAAGCAUUGCCGAGUACAUACUAGCGAGAGAAAAGAUAAGGUGGAAGAAAGAAUAGGAGUAUGAGACUGGCUUAGAUCUCUCUUUUUCUUCCUCCUCAUCAACCUUGUCCAACGGUAGCAAGGGCUUCCCUGAGCCUGCACGUGGUGAGCUUGGAGGAGAAAGCAGAGUCGUAGAAGAGCCAGCGCGAACAGCAGAGUAGACAACAGAUAGAACUGUUGUUAGCAACCCUAAUGCAAGUGUGCCACUGGAAACAGCCUUGGAGUGCUUAUGUAGACCGUUGCACUCAUAAUCCCUAGGUUCACUUGCAAGUGCACUGUAGCAGAGGUAUGUGCAGUACAGGGAUAAAACUGAUGCAGGUAAAAUACUUCCACCUACCGAUGGAUGCAAUGUAACAACAGCAAAGCCAAAGAUCAAUAUAAGUGUCAUCACUAUAAAGAAAGUGUUAAGCCCACAGUCCUGUCCAGAUGGAGUGAAAAAGUGGAAGAGCAGUCCGUUGAAUGCAAAGGUAGCCACAUAACAUACAAGUGAAACGACAAGCAAUGCCACAUACCAGAACUGCUCAUCGUAUCCAACCCAUUUGUCAUUCCAACUGUGCACAAAGUCCAACAAGAGCACAACUUGCACAAGGAGAAAUAGUCCAGAACCAAACUUGGAAAUUGUCUCAUAGAAGCUGAUGAUUCCAUUUGGAAGGAAAAACAUGAAUAUUACCAUAAGGCACCAGCAAAUGAUUUUCAUCAUCCAACCACCAUGGUGCAUACUGUCACGUGGGUCUUUCUGGUUCUUUACACCAAUCAUUAAGAUUGCUAGAAUAGUGAAAAAUAGAAAGUUCCCCAAGCUAACCCGAAGCACAGCAUCUGUUUCAAACCACUCUCUGUUUGGUGUUGUGUGAAAGCUAUUAAUCCAUGGUAUUUUCUCCAUUAGAGGGGCAGCAACCUCCCUAAGAAUCCAUGAGACGAUAAGUGACAAAGCAAAAAGACCACAAUAGGCAAUCCUGGCAGAACGUCGGCUGAUCCCAGACACUACCGUACGGCAAGCAUCACAAGCGCACGCCGCACAGCAUGACGCAAGACAAGAAGCCGCCCACAUCUUCACCAAAUUCUAGCUUCUCUCCAACAAUUGUACUAUAUCAAACCCUAGUUACGCCGGAGAACGGAGACGACGAUGGUCGCGAUUCGAAAAACGAGUAAUACGGGAACUUUCUACGCUCUUCUGUACACCAAUAC